UCCUUUUGCAGAACAUCUUCAGUAACUGAUUAUAGAAUCAUUGAAUCAUUCGGGUCAGAAAAGACCCUUAAGAUCACUGAGUUCAACCAUUAACCUAGCAUUGCCAAGUCCACCACUAAACCACAUCCCUAGGCGCCACAUGUACAUGUCUUUUAAAUGCCUCCAGGGACAGCAACUCAACCACUUCCCUGGGCACCCUCUUCCAAUGCUUGACAACACUUUCCAUGAAGAAUUUUUAACUCACAUCUAAUCUGAACCUCCUGUGGUACAACUUGAGGCUGUUUCUUCUUGUCCUAUCACAUGUUACUUGGGAGAAGAGAUCAGCCACCUUCUCUCUCCAUCCUCCUUUCUGGCAGUUCUAGAUAAGGUCCCCCAAGCCUUCUCUUCUCCAGGCUAAACAACCCCAGUUCCCUCAGCCACUCCUCAUAAGACUUUUGCUCUAGGCCCUUUGCCAUUCUUGUUGCUCUUCUUCGGACCUGCUCCAGCAUGUCAAUAUCUCUCUUGUAAGAGGGGCCCAAAACUGAACACAGUAUUCAAGGUCGGCCUCAGCAGUGACGAGUACAGGAGGAUGACCAUUUCCUUAGUCCCGCUGGCCACAAUCUGAUGCAAUAGACAAGGUGGAGAGAAUCCCCAUUUCAUAGACCUGAUUUGAAGACGGGGAGUGAUAGACCAGCUUGGUGGGCAGCUGGCCUCCAGCCAGCAUCAACCCACAACAGUAAGAUCUCAGAGAUGCCCACAGUGCUGUUUCACUCCCCUAUUAUAAGAUGAUGCAGAAUGGCUAGAUGAGGUGUCAACAACUCAUGUGGGACAUUCCAAGUUGUAUUACUCUGCUGGUUACCACCGCUUAACUCCAUUUUCUCAGCACCUACUUAAAACCACACUGAACUGAAGAGAAGCCGGCUAAAAAUGAAAAACUACAUAAUGCUUGCAGGAGAAGAUCAUUAGUGAAUCCCUGGCAACAUGACCUCAAAUAGUCUCAGAAUGUUAAGACAGUUGUUUUGGACUUCCCAGUCCAGACCCAAAUGGCUGUGGUGACAAAAGCAUGCUUAUCCACCUGCAGCUGACCAAGAAAGACUGUGCUCUUUCCUCUUAAUGAUGAAAGGAUCCAUGCAUGAAUGGCUUCCAGAGUUCUGCAACAAAUCUCUAAUAACGGUCUUGGAAAAAGCUGACUGCAUCUCCACAACUACUUUACUGCUGUAUUCCAGUCCCUGUUCUGCAGAGUUCUUUGUUUUACACAAUCCUCAACUAGUCUCUUGUCUCAAUAUCCAGGAUCUCCACUGGGAUCAGCUCUCAUGUUCCCACACACAACCACAAACUACAAUGUUUCAGCAGAAAAUUAAACUCUCAAACAGCAGCAGAAAGCUGGUGACUGCAAAUACAGCAACUUUCUCAGCAACUGCACCCAUACCAGAAAACUUCUCAAUAAAAGCAGACUUGCCAUUCAAAAAGCUAAACAUAAAAGUCACGUUUCUAACUCGGUUUCCUCUUCAUCAGCUAUACAUGCAAAACAGGUCCAUACUUUCAGGGAAACAAUAUACUAAUGAAAUUUUUACUGAACAGAAGGGAGAAAAGAUCUAUUUUUACUCUUUGAGAGAAGUAGUAAUAACACUCGCUCCCUCUGUAAACUACAAGGAGGGGGAAAUAAAGAUCCUAACCUGAGACAGACGCACUUACUGAAACCAAUAUCCUAGGAAAUCAUGUAUCCCAGGUGACCACUUCUCAGAAGAGCUCCUAGGAUUAUAGCACAAGUUAAACAAAAAGCUAACAUCUCACUUUGCUGGGUGCUAGAGUUCAGGCUUACAGUUCAGGCUUUUUCUCCAGGGAAAGGAAUUACCUACAGAUGCUCUUCAGCAACAGCUCUGUAAAAUACCAAAGGAGAAUAAAUGAACCCUUAGGAUAAAGCAGAGGCAUCUAGUUUCUUCAGCCAAAACAGUCAUUUGUAACAGAAUGUUCUUUUAGAGAUAAAACUUAGAAUAAUCAAGGCCACAGAGAAAGGUGAAGGAACCCCAAGGAAAUCGUAUUCUUUCAUAAAUGUCCUGUGUUUAAGCAGCAGUGCUAAAGACCUUCAUGAUUUAAUUUUUGCAGAGUUCCCUAGACAACAAUAUUCACAUUAUCUGUAGUUCUAUGUUGUUCUCCUGAUGCCAUUAAUUACCUGGCAAGGGAUGUCUGAAUGGUUAUCAAAAAGAGCAACUACAGAACUGCUUUAGAGAGUGCACAGGCAAGAUCAAGGCUUUUCUGUUGCCACUGAGUAAAGGAAACAUCUGAUGUCCCUGUUCUUGAAGAUGGGUGGAAAAACUAGAGAUUUUGCACAUUUUGGAAUGGUCCUGUCACAAGGAAAGUGUUGCAGAACCUGAAGAAUAAUGGUCUGCUUGCUGUGCAGAUUUAUCACAGAAGACAACAAUGAAGCCAGAACUGGAAGUAAAAUCUAAUGUGAAAUAUCACAAAAAUUCAGCACACCCCUUGUCAAAGGAGACACUGACGCUUAACAGUUGACCAGCAGGUAAACCAUUGACUUACUAUAAACUAGAAUUCAUGUUCUGAAGUCAACAACUGAUAACAUGAACUUUAUAGUCUGUGAUGAUACAAGAUUUAACUUAUAAAUGUACAAAGAAAUCAGUAAUAUGGAGUAACUGAAAAGUCUGGUUAAUAGUGGGAUUACAGAGGAAUAAUUAUUAAAAUCCAGAAAAAAAUAUUUCCAAAUGCUUAACAUUAGCAGCAUGUACCUUCAGCAUGCUGGUGAAGACUGAAGGAACUGCAAACAGACAAAUGCAUAAAAGAAAAAAAAAGCUAUUGAUUGUAGCCCUGAGCAUAUUAUUGGUGUUUAUGUCCCAAUGCCCCUAACAGAUUUGAGCCCACAUCCUGAAGCGAGAUACAGAUCUACCUCCUUCCCAAUUAAGCAGUUGAACUGAGGCAUCCAGUACUAGUGCUGGUUAAAAUAAACAGAGAAAACUAGGUCCUCACUGUUUACAUCAAGAAUCCAACAAUCCAUCAGGGGCAAUGAAUGACCAUUGCUCUUACAAUACUCACAGAUCAUUUUCCCUCUUCUGGAAUAAGACGCAUUUCCAACUGAACACUACUACCACCCCCCAAAGAAAGUGCCCAAGAGAACAUUAACUUUCAUAUCAACAUUCAUAUCCUAGGGACUGUACCACAGCACCAAGGUGCUACGAUUAUUUCUGGUGUUGAGGCAUCAAUGAUGAGGCUGCAACAACAUAGUACUUUAACAAGUUAAAUUCACUUUCUUGAGCUUUCUUGAACAAAGCGCUGUGUGUUAACUACUGAGAACAAAACGUCACUUCUACAGAGGUAUCCCCAGCUGGUGCCAAGGGAUCUGACAGAACUAUAAAUCACACAGUUGCUGGACUGGAGAAAACUGAUACAUGCUUAAUGUCUUGGUGUGCAUUUGGUAAGCCAGUCCUGUGGAGUCAGUAGCAACACACAAGCUUCAUCCAUGCCACAGGUCAGUGGUAACUCUACGGGCCCCGCUGGUCUUGUCUUUUUCAGGACAAACCUGGAGAAAGAGACAGGCAACUCCCUGAGGAGUCAUCCUAGGAGCAGUAUCCCAAUCAGUUUGGUUCCAGGGGUGCACAGUGUGGUGCUGAUCCCUAGCAAUGACCAAGAGGCUCACUGCAACCUCAGACACCUGAGCCAGAUGAGGCCUUCACAGCUUUCUCAGCUCUACUCCUGCGCAACCCGGGCACCUAACCCCUUCACUCACUAAAUUUAAAAGAACAGCAAACAGAGCACUCAGGAAUACAUCGCUUUCACUCAGGAAUACAUCACUUUCUAAGUAAUAAAAAUACUUCACAUAUGGAUCAAAGAUGAAAUUCAAACCUUCCGAGUCUCACAGCAAUAGAUAUAAAUUAUAAAGACAUUACUGCUUUCAAAAAAAAUGAACAGGAUACAGAAUAAUCAACCGUGCAGAAGAAAAUCUGCCUAAGCAGAAGUGGUUCAUCUCUGUAGAGUGGCUGGAGGAGCAAACAUGCCCCUGAGCAUCUUACAGUUCAUGCUGUAACGCACUCCUCCCUCUGAGGAUAACGGAGGGUUGGGCAAGGAGUCCCUACAGGUACAGCUAAGGGAAAAUAAUGAUGUGAUCUGCAGUGAGGAGAAGUAUGCAUACUGACACUGUCAAUGUUCAUUUAGAGUAUCACCCACUGAAAGACUCAAUUAUUUAUUGAUGAUAAGAAAACUGUUCAAAAUAGGCAUGAAUUCCUACUGUUACACCCAGCAUGAAAAGACCUCUCAUAGUUUCUUUUAUUCUUUCUCAAGAACAGUUCAGUGUAAAGUGUUUGCUAUUACACUGUCACCACUGAAAAUCUAAUGACUUAGAAAAGGCACAGUACAAGAAGGAAGAUAAAAAAGUUCAGUGGGCUACUAAGCAAAGGAAAUUUUAAGGCCUUCCAGAUCAUAUAAACCCAUUUGUAACUCAUCAGCAUACUACACUGACCUUGAAAAUUUCAUAGUUCAAAAAAAUCAGUUAAAAUUUGGUUUAAAAAAACAGUGUAAGUAUUACCACUGGUUUCAAUAGGCACAACCAAAGACCCUCAGAACAUUUUUAGGCCCUCAUGAGGAUAAACAUUAUUAAUGUAAUACACCUGUAAGGAUUAAGUCAGGUAAUAACUAUAGGACUUCAUAAGAAUUAGAGACACCUCAUAAAAGCACAGUACAAACAGCAUGGAUAGCCUGUAGGAUCUAGAGAAUGGCAGAUACACCACAUAGAGAGCAAACGCUCCCUCAUGCUGGUGCAUCUUUCCCCCACAGUCUCCAGCCAUUCAUUAUACCUGCAUAAAUGUAAUAGAAAAGGCGUAACAGGGUGCUUUCAAGACCUGAGAGAAGACAGCAGCUCGUGGUUCAGGGUUUCCACUCCCUCAUCCACUACCCAACAACUCUGUGCCUUCAGUUCUCCAUUGUGAACAACAAACUUCUAAAGUUUAACAGACAUAAGGGCAUAGUGUAAAAUGCUUAUGUUUAAUACAUUUUUAGAAGGCAGGGAACCACUGCUGAACACACUACACUUACAGGCUCUUGUUCUAAUCUUCAUCAUGAUGUUUAUAAUAAUAUAUUGUGAGAAGCACAAAAGAGAUCAUACAAAUAAAAUUUGGUUUCUCAAGGUUUCUCAAGGAAGCAAAGAUUAAAAGACUUGGAAGUAAAAAGAAUGCUCUAAAGCCUAACAAGAAAGUUUUCCAGUCACCAGUUUUGUUGGCUGCAGACAGAAAUUAAAAUUUUAACUUACAUUCCCUAAUAUUCAUGUCAGACAUAAAGGAAAAUAGCAUACAGUUCCUAAACUAUGUUUGUGGCUGUACCAAUGACUCAGAUGGAAAACAGAACUGUAAGUCUUCAUUGGACAUGAUCCUCCACAAAAAUAAGAGGACAAUAUGAAGAAGCAAACAGUCGUGCCACUCCCACUUAAUUUUGCAUGGAACACAAAAUAGGCAUUAUUAUUUAACCUAUAGUAUGCAGAUGAAAAAAAACAAAGUUCUGCUAAUAAGCAUUUCUUUAUUAAAGAAAUGUACAUGGAUAUCCCAGACAGCUGGGAACAAAGACCUUCCAUUAAUCCAGCCAGCCCACAGUUACGUUAUUCCCUUCUGUUAAACCAUUUACACAUGUUCUACCCACUUGCAUCAAUGGGCAAUUUCAUACUCUAAUCAUUAAAGUGUUAUCUUCAGAAGAAAGGAUAGUGGUAGUUUUAACUUUGCAAGCAUGAAAACAAUGCAAGGAAAAAAAAUGGGUUUCAUUAAAAAAAGAGUAUUUAUUAAAAAUGGCAACAUGGGGAUGUAAAUGCAGAGUUACUGCUGGUACCACUCACACGAUAAAUGCGCUAAGAAACAUGGAAGUUAGACGUGACUGCGACUGGCCUAUAAAUAGUCACAAUUCCAAUUGCUCAUAAUUCUUUGAAAAUGAUCCAUUAGUCACAUGUUCUGAUUGAGCCCUGCAUGAUAAGUGUGAACUGAAAAGAAAUGCCCCUGAAAUUUGCUUCCUCUCUUGAACAAUACCACCACCUGCCACCUCAGUCUCCAUCUGAAGACCUUCACUCUUGCUGAAACCAGCCAGAGAUACUUCGCACUUUCUAAAAAUAAGGUCUAGAACUGAAUACCUCAGCUUCAUAAAUUCAUGAUAGAAAACAUAACUCCAUCAGUUUUAACUUCUGGUAAACAAGUUUUUUUCUACUUAAUAAUUCAACCUUAACGGGGAGCUUUUAAUCAUAAAUUUUAAAGCUAUUUUGUCACAUAUCUGGUCAUUAAACUAAAAUCACGUAACACAGAAACUGAUUUUGCUUCAGCUGUGAAAAUGUCACAGAUAUUGAAAGAACUCUGCUCAAACUCCAAACAAGAAUUACAUUUGGGUCAGAGACAAGCCACAAAAAAUUACUCCUAAAAAUUAUCUGCCAGAAAUUCAUGGGUAUGUCAGAAUUAUGGGUAUCACUGGCACUUUCUAUAACCAUAUUUAUGUAAGCCCAGUUACCUAAAGAGUUGUUUAAUAGAAUAAACACAUUCUGAAACACAAUAAACUACUUUUUAUGAAAACUAAGGCUGGUACAUUCCCUCUAGAAAAAAACUGUAAUUCAAAUCAGCAUUUCAAAUAAAUGUCAGUGCACAAUAACACAAUUUCAAAUGGUUUUAUCCCCAAUUUGAUCACCAAAAUAGUAUAAAAAUAAUAAUAAAAAAAUAAUUGGUAAAUCAUUGCCACAGCAACUGUCAGAGAAACCCAGUUAGCAUCCCUGUAACCUUGUCUGCUCUUUCAGAAUGAAAGAAAUUUAAAAUGCAAUGCAAACAAUAGCAACUGAAUAAAAAUAAAAGAAAAAAGUGAAUGUCUACCUGCCACAGGAGAUGAAUGAAUAUUACUUUGAAGACAACAAAAUUAGGAUUCCACAAGAAAUACUGAGAAAAAAAACACAUAAGCAAUUCUACUGAGGAAGUAAGAAUACAUAAAUGAACAAUAGUAUGUGACAAAACGUAUUACAGCUUUCAGGCAAAUUUAACAAAUACAAUUAUUGUCUUCUGUCUAUUAUUAAAUAUUUUUCCAAGUAAUUUCUUUUGCAAUGAAAUAGUGAACAUACCCCAUGUUCCACUUAAAGCAAGUCUCUACACUAACAGUUACACACUAUGUAAAUAUUCCACUAGAUUUACCUAAUUUAAAAAGCUAGAAAACAUAAAACAUAAGGUUGUGUGCCAUGCCUGUAAUGUGUGCACACAUGCCAUAAAAACUGUACAAUUCACUAUUAUACAGUUAGAAGAGAAGCAUACGUAUGAGCAAGUACAUCCAAAUGUGCACACACACACUAGUCCUUUCUCUACUUCAUACACUCUCCUCCAUCCUCAGACACAGAGUAUUUUGAGACUGCCAUGGGCUGAGAACAAUAGAAAACAAUUACACAAUUAUUUCAUUUCUAACCUUUUAGUUAUUCAAGACACCAUUUACACUGCUGCUCUGUAACAUCACAAGAGCCUGAGCUGUAAUUCCCAGUGAUCUAAGGUACAGUCCCACGUACACUUGUUUAUGAUCUCCAGUGUGUCAUGACCAGCUAAAUGUACUUGUGAAUUCAAUUAACUCCUUUUCAUGUAAGUUUGUCAGCUUUCCGUUCUAUGUCAGGUGACAGCAAUAUUCCAUCUUUAUGGGGGCCAGAGCAUCUACAGGAAUACAUUUAUUCCUGUUACUUUAAAUCUACACAUAUUCUUGACCAUUCCACAGUCAAGUUGUGUUGAGGAAGUUUCAAGCAACUGGCAUCCAGAGUUAGGUUUGAGGAUACCGUGAGUUGCAUGACCGCAUCAGCAAGUAUAGAGCAUUAACAUAGCGAUACACACGGUUAACACCUAUCAGACUGCA